GGAGGGAUGGCCGAGCGGUUUAAGGCAACGGUCUUGAAAACCGUCGUGGGUGUGAGCUCACCGCGAGUUCGAAUCUCGCUCCCUCCGCCA
rnacentral:tRNA from 1 species